AUUACACUGACAUCUUUUGUGCUAUACAAUACACAACCUUCAACUACAUCAAACUUUUACUUCAUUUUUUUCCAUUUCCACCAACAAACAUAACAAUGGAACAAGUAAGAUCUAUGCUCCAAAGAGAGCCACUUGAAUAUUUCUCGUUGUGAAGGUUGCAGAGCAGAUGAAUCAUGAGAUCGAACCAGGUUUUGUGAAGGGAAAUUUAGCUAAUCUAUCAGCUUUAUGGUAGCUUCUCAAUAAAGAAAACACAGGUCACAUUUUAACUUUUAACAAAAGCUUGGUUAACCCACUGUUAACUCAUGGUUGGACUGAGUUUAAGGAUUUUAAUGAUCUUCCUGAAAAUGUUGAAAUUGUUUUUGGUUACUACGAGAAUAAUAUGUUCUCGGUAUAUAUGUUCAAAACAAUAUAUACACAUGAUGACUUACCAACAUGGCAUAGUCGCUGCACAAUCAUCAAUCGAACUGCAUAUUUCGAUUCUCUACUUACUGAAGAUGACUUUCUCAGCCCAAUGAAGGUUUUUCUUCUUCUUUACUAUUUUCACUUCUUUAUAAUGUUACCAUUCCUUUGUUAUUUUUCAUAUAUCCGAUUUAUAUGUUUUAUACAACAAGUUGAUGAAGACUUUGGAAUGUACCUCAAGCAAUAUGAUUUCGUAGAUGUAAAACUUUGUGUUGAUAAUGGCAAUGAAGAGAAAUUUAAGGUGUAUUUCCUGAAUGAUGCAAAAUUGACAACACAGUUUGGAAUCAUGUGGGAUCAGUUCUGCAAAAACAGCAACUUCAGAAUUGACCAAACAAUAUGCUUCAAGUUGAUGAUUUCAGACAAA